CAUUUUAUCACUAAUGAAAAAUGUUUAUGUAUACUUAUAGACCAUAUUUUUUUCCUAAUUCUGCAUGAUCUGAAACUGUACAGAAGUAUUUUUUGACAAAGAUGUGAUAUUUUUGAACAUAUGUUUUCAAAUAUUUUCAUUUGACAGACACAAAAUGCUUCAAAUGUAUGAUUGAAGCCAGCAUCAAAUGUGAAGAUUGUCAUCGCCUAUUCUGCUACCACUGUGAUAUGAAAAAACAUUUUUUAAACCCAUUCCAUGAUAGGUUUUCCUGGGCCAGUGGAUAUUAUGAAGCAUUGCCACCAACUGUGACUGUUGACCUUAAUGGGACAUUUACUGACUGGCGUAUGACCUUUAUCUGCCCAUAUUUGAGUGUCAAGAGUGUGGAUACAGCCUUCCUGCAGAUGCUAAGAUGUUGUAUGAUGGUGGAUACUUCUGCUCAUCAGCCAGGAAAAGUAACACAUUCUUCAGCACCAAACUCCUGAACAACUGGCAUUUCCUUAAAAGGAACAGUCCAGGUUUAUCAAUGAAAUCCUUGUUAAUAGUGCUCCAAGCGCUUGGCUCUCGUAAUGGAAGAGUAAGUAUUUAUUAAUUUUAUAUAUGUAAUGUAAGUACCUGUAUACAUUAAACUGUAUAUAUAAUAAUACAUAAAAAUAUGAACCCACUCCACACAUUCUCUUGUGCCACUUACAUGUACAAAACCUUGU
rnacentral:misc_RNA from 1 species